CCCAAAUAUUGAAGCGUUGUCAUUUUCCAGUUCUCUACUGCUGGGACUUUAACAGUCUAUUGACUUGCUUUACAUUUGCACCUCUGGAAGCAUCCGUCUCUGUCUCAACUAAGUGAAAUGGCACUUUCAGCCAAUCCGAUUCUGGGGGCGAGCUUUUCUGCACAACACCUGCAGUUCUAGUUCACCUCAGAAUCGCUCGUCUUAGCCCGCCCAGAGUGGCUCGCUUUUGGGCAGCAUAUAGCAGCACUUUCGGUUGUGCUUCAAGAAUGCAGCAUAGCAAGUUCGUAUGAAGGUCUGGUUAUUAAAUGGGUAAAUAGUUCACGUUACAUAGUAAUAUGGUCUAAAACGCUCUGGUGACAAACGUUGCUGCCCUGUUUCCAAUCGUCCACAUGACUGGGAGGACCUAUUCAAGUACUAGUAACGUUAGCUUGCUAACAGCCAUGGAGGAGCAGAUGCACCUCCCCCUACUUCACUAACAUCAACUUUCGGUUGCUUUAGCCUUACCAAGCACGCCCAACAGUUUGGAGUAAAACGUGGUUAAUUUCUAAAAUAGACCUAUAAAUAAAUAGCCUACAUGAAAAUAUUUGCUACCUGAUUGACUCAAAAUGUUUUUGUGUAGCCUAUUUAAGUAGGCUAAAUAGCGCAUCAAACACCAAUGAAGAGAGAAGCCUAUGCCAAUAGGCUAUGGGGCAAGGGCGCUCCCUGUAGCCUAUUAAUUAAAAAAAUAAAAAAAUCGAAGCUGCCAGUUAGCAUCAUAUAGUCUAAAUUUCGCAUCUCCAUGUGACACGGUUACUUGUAAAUUAGAACAUUGUCAUGUUUCAUAAGACAAUUGGACUCAUAUAUUUUCUCAUAAGGCACAGGCCUAGGCUAAUUUAGGCUACAUGCAAAUUUGACACACCGGGACAUUUUUUAUUUUAUUUAAAAAAAAUAAUUUGGAAUGCUUCUUACAAUUUGCGUUCAGCUAUUACAUUACACUCCUUGUACUCCAUGUCAUCUGGUAUCAUAACUGGCCAUUUCCCCUGACAGUGAGAGCUGUUCAGUGGUGUGUUCUGUGGACAACGGGAGAGAUUCUACCCUGUUCUGGUACAGUGGAGAGAAAACAGACUCAACCAGACCAGCAGCCCUGUUCUCACCCACAUCUUUUGUGUGAGGCAAAGUGGAAGGUCUUGGCAGAGCUGUAUAAUUUUUGUGCUCCUUAAUUCGUGGGAAAUGGGGUUUUAAAAGGACAAGGACAAUAGGCUAUACAAUAGAUAAAGCAAAUGUAUAGGCUUGCCGAUAUGCAAGGGGCUUAAUACAGUUUUAUUCCAGUCACUAGGGGGUACUCAUGGUGAAGCCCAUGGGAAAUAAAGAAAUAUAGUUUAAGUGAACUGGGGAGAGGAAGCAAAAUGAACAAAAAGUGCUGUAAACUGCUGUUACAUGUGCUGUCAUGAUUCAAAGUCAAGUAAACAGUACCUUUCGCGUUGUAGUUUAUAUUAUAAGCUCAUAGAAAGGGUAACACAUUUGUUGGCUCCGCUGAGAUUUAUUUUCACGUGAGCACCAGCCCAUAUUCCUUGAACAACAACGAGUGAGCGACAUUGGGAGAGUAGCUAGCUUGCUAACAUUAGCAGGCUAAACACCAAACGGAUUGUAGCUAUCUUGCCAUUGGCUGCAUUGUCGUUGUUGCCACGUGUUGCUGACUCUGAAGUCAAAGAAAAGAGCCAUCACGCUUUGCGGCGCAAAUUGAUGUAAGAUUACUGUGAGAAGGAGGAUUUAAUGGAAUCAGAGGAUGAGGGAAAGUCUUGGCUGCUUCAACUGAAAGACGAAAUCAAAGGAAUAUUGGACUGAGGAUACUGCGAAAAGUCUGCCUACAAGUCCCAGCCAGUCGGCGCCAACGAUGCAAGUGGACAGCGAACCCAGCGGAGAGACGGGAGCUGCAGCAGGACGAAAAGAGGAGGGAGGGGGCCUUCAGCCCAGCAGAGAAGUGGUCUCAGCUCCAGAAAGGCACCUGCCACAGAGAGAGAAUGGAGUGAGUAUGUCCAGUUAUAAAGAUUUUAAAAUCCUUGGGCAGAUAGGAGAUCAGAAUCAUUAAGAUAAGCUCAGCUUCAGCAGCCUAGAACAUCAAAUUGAAAAUGGAUGGAGAAAAGGGUACAAUGAAUUAGAAAUCAUAGAAGCAGUAAUCAGAGCUGUGAGCCCAGGGUUUAAAAUGUGGAGUUAUCUGGAGGGAAAAACAGACAUGACACUCUACACACUAAGGCAAAUCUUGAGGACACAUUAUGCAGAGAAGGACGCUGCUGAACUGUAUCACAAGUUGACCAAGGCAACACAAGAGCUGGGAGAGUCUGCCUUGGACUUCCUAGUCCGAGUCUUUGACCUCAGCUCGAGCCCAAUCAGGACUGAAAUAUGGCACAGAGUUAGUCAAGAGCCAAUGCCCGCAGGCCAUUGUUACUGGAUUAACAAAUGUUAAUGUCAGGGUAGAGAUGACAGUGCAUCUCCAGAAUAUUAACACCAGUGAUGAACUCAUUAGUACAGUCAGUGCAGGGCCAGGGUGACAGUUAAGUUAGGAAUCGCUCCAACAGAAAACCAAGUCCAACCAACAGAGAGAAAUGAAAAGGUUGUUAUGAGACUGGUCAACAGACUUGCCAGCGUUGCUACAAAUGUGGCAGUGAUAGCCAUUGGGCAGUAGGAUGUAGGAUCAGGGGCAACGUACAUCCAUCGGGAAACGCCUGGGGGCCACAACCAUGGAUCGGAGAUGCUAACAUCUCUGUUGACGAGUCUACGAUAUGUAAAACACUAAAGAAGAAUGGUGUUCAUGGGAGGACACCACGGAAGAAGCCACUGCUGUCCAAAAAAACAGCUGUCUGAAAAUGGCAAAAGUGCACCUGGAUGUUCCAUAGCGCUACUGGCAAAAUAUUCUGUGGACAGAUGAAACUACAGUUGAGUUGUUUGGAAGGAACACACAACACUAUGUGUGGAGAACAAAAGGCACAGCACACCAACAUCAAAACCUCAUCCCAGCUGUAAAGUAUGGUGGAGGGAGCAUCAUGGUUUGGGGCUGCUUUGCUGCCUCAGGGCCUGGACAGCUUGUUGUCAACGACAGAAAAAUGAAUUUCUAAGUUUAUCGAGACAUUUUGCAGGAGAAUGUUAGGCUAUCUGUCCGCCAAUUGAAGCUCAACAGAAGUUGAGUGAUGCAACAGGACAACGACCCAAAAUACAGAAGUAAAUCAACUACAGAAGAAAAUACCCCUUCUGGUGCGGCCCAAUCAGAGUCCUGACCUCAAACCGAUUCAGAUGCUGUGGCAUGACCUCAAGAUAGCAGUUCACACCAGACAUCCCAAGAAUAUUGCUGAACUGAAACAGUUUUGUGAAGAGGAAUGGUCCAAAAUUCUUCCUGACCGUUGUGGAGUAGCAUAAUUUUUUUUUAUAUUUUACCGUUAUUUAACUAGGCAAGUCAGUUAAAGGUAGACUCAGCGAGAUGACGUAGAUACCACAAACUAAACUAUUGCCACAACCUGGGCCCGGUUUCCCAAAAGCAGUAAAAAGUUAAUCAGUAGAACCUUCAUAGGAACAUCUUUAAAUCUCCGAGCUGUUUUCCAAAGCAAUAUCUAAUAGGCUAGCCUAUACAUUAUGAGGAGACCUGCC
rnacentral:lncRNA from 1 species